GAAGAUCUCGGUUGGGGAUGGGAAUAUCGUGAAGAUGACAGGAAUAAAGGACAUGCUCUAUGUGUUAUCAGAAAUUGAGAUGUGAAGGCAACUUGGUGCUUGGGCAAAAGAACUUCAAGGAAUGAAAAGUUACUGCAUAAAGGAGUUUGCAGAAGCUUUGGAGGUAAUUCCUUACGCUUUAGCAGAGAAUGCAGGGUUAAACCCCAUAGUCAUUGUUACAGAACUUUGGAACAGGCAUGCCCAGGGUGAGACUAAUGCUGGUAUCAACGUGAGGAAGGGUCUGAUCACCAACAUAUUGGGGGAAAAUGUGGUGCAGCCACUGCUGGUUAUCACAAGUGCAAUUACACUCGCCACCAAGUGUGUGAGGAUGGUCUUAAAGAUCGACGGCAUUAUGACUGUGAGGUAGAUUGGAGCAUAUGUCAACAGGCAACAAGCUUGGGACUUGUAUGAUUUCGUUGUACUUUUGAUGCUUCUCUAAUCUACAAGAUCGAUGACAUUAUCACUGUGAGGCAGAUCGGAGCAUAUGCCAACGGGCAACAAGCUUGGAACUUGUUAGAUUUUGUUCUACCUUUGAUGCUUCUCAAAUCUACCAGAGCUGCAACGCAAGCAAGGGCCACUCCUUUUUGAGUCUUUGUUACCAGUUUAAGAGUCGUAGCGAUUACAGUCUUAAUUUGUUUAUAAGUAUGUUUGUUGUUAAGAGUAUCUAUCGUGGUUUUUGCCUUGACUUGCUGGCGACUCAGCCAUCAUGAAAUUGAAAUGAGUGAAUCCUUGUUAUUUGUUACUUGUUCACUUUGUUCAACCAGUGAGCUUCAUAUUAUUUGUUCAACCCGAGGUGGCAUUUUAGAGAACAUGUACUCUUUAAGAGGAGGUCCUUUUGAUGGUGAUAUAAACAACGUUUUCCAUUC